GUCUACAGCCAUAUCACCCUGAACAAGCACGAUCCCAUCUGAUCUUGGAAGCUAAGAAGGGUUGGGCCUGGUUAGUACUUGGAUGGGAGAUCACCUAGGAAUUCCAGGUGCUGUAGGCA
rnacentral:rRNA from 1 species